GCAGGUUCCUUCAUGGGAGCUGCAGCUCGCAGGGGUCUAGGAUCGUAACGAUGUCCAUCGCCUGCAAAUACGAGGAGAUCUAGGUGCCCCAGGUGCAUAAGAGUAUGCGGUGUGACCGCUGUUGGGCAGCCGUGGUGGUGGUGGCGUUAUCUCAGUUUCGGCCACAAUUCCCUCAGCUAUCUUGAUUCAUUAUCAACAAUAUUGUACCUCUCAAGCAUAUCUUCAGAAUCUUUAAGCCUUUCAUUAUCAACAAUAUUGUAAGCAGAUUAUGUGGUGUGCUAUUUGUGAAGGUGCUCUAAUAUAGCGAAAACCGACGGAUAGGAUUGGCAAUGUGUUAAGCAACCAUCUAGCUCACGUGAUGCAGUCCACAUGUAGAGGCUAGGAGGACUAAACGACAGACAAGAUGGAACCAGCAGACACAGUACUUAAGCUGGAGUACCUAGGGACAACUGAGACAUGUAUCGGUUCUUCUUCUUUGCUUAUAAGCAUUAGGUGCGCAAUGUGCUAGGAGAACUGAAUGACAGACAAGAUGGAACUAGUAGGGACAGUACUUAAGCUGGAGUCCCCGGGGAGAACUGAGACAUGUAUCAGUUCUAUUUUGCUUGUAAGCAUCAGCUGCAAAAUGGGAAACUGAUGCAACCGAUACAUGAACAUCUCACUUGGAUCUGGGUUUGUCUGAUGCUGCCAUGUUGCAGAUGGAGGCUGACCUUGCACCUUGGAAAUCAACUAUUGCAAUGCUACCUAUCCACCUGGCCUUUUCCCUGGAACCAUAAUCGGUUCAAGUUGAACAACAGUAUAGUUUACAAAACAAUGAUAGCUGAAGAAGAUGAGGCUAGCCAGAGAUGAGAUUUUGUUUUGCCUUGGUCUAAGAAGAUUGAGGCAUUUUCUAAACGAGGACCAUAAAUGCAACAUGUGGUCUGGCAUAUGCACCUAACCAUGGCUACCGAAUCUAGCCGUUUUGGCUUCCAACUGGACAGCUGCUGUACUAGCCAUGACUGGCCCUUGGCUUCGACUACCUGUCCUCCCGCCUUGGCCCGCAACGCAACUGCGGUGGUGAUGCUCUGCCUCGGCUACAAGCUAUUCAGGUGGUGGUGAAUGGACAAACGAGACGCCGGCGGAGCCUUGUUCUUGGACCUGUGGUGGUAGAUAGCCAGUUGGGACUGACACGACGCCGGAGGAGUGGUGGUGCAUGGAGCGGUCGACGAACAGCGUUGGGUGCUGAGAGAGAAGGAAUGGAGCAUUGUGCACUUGGCUGCUCUGAUGCAGCGGCGGCAGCAGCAAUGAGGUAGAAAUGGAGGUGGCCUGGAGGAAGGGAGCUAGAGUAGCUGUGUCCGGCUGGACUAGCGAGAUGCUGGCCUAUUUUCAACUGCUAGCAUUCAAUUUCAGGCUCAAGUGCGGCCAAGAUUUUGUACCAAUGCUGUUGUACAUGCGAUCGAGCUAGCUAGAUGUUGUUUCAUGUCCAGUGGCUUGGCUAGAUGUAGCCGUUCUGUGUACUUUAUUUUCGCUGAUGGUCAGGCCGUAUCUUGAGGUGAAUUCUUUAUGUGUAUUUAAAUGCCUUAGAGGAUGUUAUGUGAUGUGAAUGUACAUGAGCAUGAGCAUGCACUCGAGAACUGGAUCAAGUGUUUGGAGCUAGUAGCUGUUUUUUAUUGUUUGCAGUCUGACGAGGAGGUGUAAAGAAAGCUACGGAAGACUUGUAUGUUUUGACAAAACAAUUCAUGGUGUUGAUUGGCA